GGAAGAAGAAAAACAUCAACACGCUCGGGGAAAACAGACUCAAGACCUCCAUCAGAACAGCCUCCAAGAACAUGUGGAGAGAACAUGAUUACUGAAGGACGUCCGGACUGUAAGGGAAAGCCAACAGAUCAGCCUGAACCUGAUCUUAUCACUUUCUGUAUUAAAUAACACAUUAACACAGCCGGAGCAGCUCAGGUCCA